rnacentral:rRNA from 1 species
UACGUAGGGUGCGAGCGUUAAUCGGAAUUACUGGGCGUAAAGCGUGCGCAGGCGGUUCGCCGUGUCCGAUGUGAAAGCCCCGGGCUUAACCUGGGAAUGGCAUUGGAAACUGGCGGGCUUGAGUGUGGCAGAGGGGGGUGGAAUUCCACGUGUAGCAGUGAAAUGCGUAGAGAUGCGGAGGAACACCGAUGGCGAAGGCAGCCCCCUGGGCCAAUACUGACGCUCAGGCACGAAAGCGUGGGGAGCAAACAGG